GUUGAAGAAGCUUGAACGGGGUAAGACCCGAAAUCAAAUCCACGGUUUCUCAUGAGGGGUCAUCUGGGUCAGAGAGUAGCAGUCAGUCGUGGAUGAUUGCCGAAACGGCUGGGCAACGCGGUGGUAAGAAGGCGGCGAUCGGCGAGGUUUCUGUGCCGGGUGGUCAGAAUCAUACCGGCUCGUGUCGCUUCUUAAAUAUUUCCGCGAAAACCUCUGGUUUCGAUUCUCUGAAAGCCCAUGAUCCAGUGAUGGCUCCAGCAGUGAAGCCUGUGGAGAAUGAAACUGCUUUUUCAAGGAAUUGAAAGACGAGUUGCUUUCAGCUAUGUCUGGGUCUGUAAAUGAAAGUAAGGCUCGAGUGGGUUUAGUUUUGAAGAAACUGAGUCCAUUGUGAGCAUUACUGUGGUUGUGGAGCAUCUGGGGACCUUACUAAGAAGAAGAUAUUCCCGCUCUUUUCGUGCUUUAUUAUGAGGGUCGCGUCCCUAAGCACUUCACUAUUUUUGGUUAUGCUCGGAAUAAGAUGACUGAUGCGGAGCUAAGAACUAUGGUUAGCAAGACACUUGCUUGCAGAAUUGACUAGAGAUUUACAAGGUUAACUCUAGCAUGCUCUAAAAGAAUGACAAAUUGGAUGUGGAUUAGGAUAUGAUCCAUGUUCGCCAACUUGGUGGCUUUUUGAGAUUCACACUACAAAACUUGUGGUGCUAUGGAUCUUUCUCUUUACAUUUUGUUAAUAGUUGGAAAGUUAACAAUUGAUGUACUAGAACUGUAUGCAAGAUUUUAUCGGUAAUAUGAAUGUUUAUCGAAUUUAUGAAGUGUAUGUAUAAUUUGUGUGG